CUGGAGUUAGCAAGGACUAGAAAGAUUUCCGUUGCUAAUCGAUUAUGAAUAGUUCACUCAAAGAAGAAAGUUCCCUCAUAUGUUACUCAUUCCUGUAUAUUGUUUUCUUUUCAGUUAAACUCAACAGAAGACAUUUUGGGCUAACAGUUGCUGCUGGACCUUCUGCUCCCCCUGGGCCCGUGUCGACACCUGCAGCUGUCAUUUUUGCAGUCCCCACGGCUACCGCGGCCCUCUCGCUGGCACGCUCCACCCCCCACCGCACGCACCUCCUUCACCAAUGGGCCUCUUUGUAGGGUCUAUGUCUGAAGAGCCCGAGCCUGCUGUUACAACAGAUGAAAUGGUCACAAAGAACCGCAGCACCCCUUUCUGAAGAACAUUUGAGGAUUAAAGGCUAAAUAUGCUUUGGACUGGAGUCUAGUACAUCUGCAGGUAUGAAGCUCUAGUUUCUGCAGCUGCUGCCCGACUGAAUUCCCUGUUGGAAAUCCUUUGCUUGGAAAUGUUUGGUUUUCCUGUGCUUCAGUGCCUCAGUGUGAUCACUGUGCAGACUGAACUGAAGACAAUGACUUUGACAAGAAGAGACCAUAGGCAGCAGGGGUUAAAUAAAACAACAAUGCCCUGCUUCUUUAAAGAUGUUAUGUCAGGUGGUGGCUUACAGUACAGUAUAGCAUAGGAAAUUAUGGUAUAGUAUGAUUUGGUGUUGUGUGGAUUCAUUUUAGCAUAGUUUGGUGUAGUAUAGUAUGGUGGUGUAUAGUGCUGUGUAGUAUAGUAUUUUAUGGCCUAGUCUAGUGCAGUAUGGCAUAGCAUAGAAAAGGACAGCAUAGCAUAUCAUAGCACAGUAUAGUAUAAGAUAAUAGAACAGUACAAUGCAGUACAAUAUAGCAUAGUAUAGUGAAGCACUCUACACUAUAGGAUGGUAUAGUAAAGACUGCUUCACCUGUAACCACUGGUCCAGAAGCACUUCCGAUUUUAUACAUUUAUUAUUUGGAUUAUUUUAAAUAUUACAUGUAUAAUUAAAGAGAGAAAACAGUUAUACAUAUUCUGUAGGUUGUAUGUUGUUCAAACGUAUGUGUAGUAAAACGGGAAGCUCUCCUGGGCCACCCUUAAACCAAUGUUGGUUACGUCAUCCGAAGUUACCUAUGGUACUGUACAGUAUACUAUAGUAUCACAAUUUGUUUAUAUUAAAGAAUUUGUUAUCUGUUGUAA